rnacentral:rRNA from 1 species
AACGAACGCUGGCGGCAUGCCUAACACAUGCAAGUCGAACGAGGCCUUCGGGUCUAGUGGCGCACGGGUGCGUAACGCGUGGGAACCUGCCCUUAGGUUCGGAAUAACUCCCCGAAAGGGGUGCUAAUACCGGAUAAUGUCUUCGGACCAAAGAUUUAUCGCCUUUGGAUGGGCCCGCGUUGGAUUAGCUAGUUGGUAGGGUAAAAGCCUACCAAGGCGACGAUCCAUAGCUGGUCUGAGAGGAUGAUCAGCCACACUGGGACUGAGACACGGCCCAGACUCCUACGGGAGGCAGCGGUGGGGAGUAUUGGACAAUGGGCGAAAGCCUGAUCCAGCAAUGCCGCGUGAGUGAUGAAGGCCUUAGGGUUGUAAAGCUCUUUUACCCGGGAUGAUAAUGACAGUACCGGGAGAAUAAGCUCCGGCUAACUCCGUG